UAAUACAUUUAGAAUUGAUUGAAGGAUCCUGCAUUGGCGGGAGCUUUAUGCUUCCCUUCGAGGGUCCGGGUCUUACGCAAUAGGACUCUACGAAUCUGGUCAGGGCAGGAAUGCAGCAGCCAUAAGAAGAAUCUCCUAUGUGCCGUGAGGGUGCCUGGGCCAAUCUUGGAGGAAUAAAGUUCCCGCGGGUGCAGGAUUUUAUUA
rnacentral:SRP_RNA from 1 species